rnacentral:rRNA from 1 species
GACGAACGCUGGCGGCGUGCCUAAUACAUGCAAGUAGAACGCACAGUUUAUACCGUAGCUUGCUACACCAUAGACUGUGAGUUGCGAACGGGUGAGUAACGCGUAGGUAACCUGCCUGGUAGCGGGGGAUAACUAUUGGAAACGAUAGCUAAUACCGCAUAAUAUUGAUUAUUGCAUGAUAAUUAAUUGAAAGGUGCAAUUGCACCACUACCAGAUGGACCUGCGUUGUAUUAGCUAGUAGGUGAGGUAACGGCACACCUAGGCGACGAUACAUAGCCGACCUGGGAGGGUGCUCCGCCAGCCUGGGCCUCAGACACGGCCCCGCCUCCUCCGGGAGGCAGCGGUAGGGAAUCUUCGGCAAUGGACGGAAGUCUGACCGCACUACGCCGCGUGAGUGAAGAAGGUUUUCGGUUCGUAAAGCUCUGUUGUAAGAGAAGAACGGGUGCGAGAGUGGAAAGUUCACACUGUGACGGUAUCUUACCAGAAAGGGACGGCUAACUACGUG